rnacentral:rRNA from 1 species
CACGUAGGGGCGAGCGUUGUCCGGAUUUAUUGGGCGUAAAGAGCUCGUAGGCGGUUCGGCAAGUCGGGUGUGAAAUUUCGAGGCUCAACCUCGAAACGCCACUCGAUACUGCUGUGACUGGAGUCCGGUAGAGGAGUGCGGAAUUCCUGGUGUAGCGGUGAAAUGCGCAGAUAUCAGGAGGAACACCAACGGCGAAGGCAGCACUCUGGGCCGGUACUGACGCUGAGGAGCGAAAGCGUGGGGAGCAAACAGG